UACGUAGGGUGCGAGCGUUGUCCGGAAUUAUUGGGCGUAAAGGGCUCGUAGGCGGUUUGUCGCGUCGGGAGUGAAACCUGCAGCUUAACUGUGGGCUUGCGGUCGAUACGGGCAUCACUGGAGUUCGGCAGGGGAGACUGGAAUUCCUGGUGUAGCGGUGAAAUGCGCAGAUAUCAGGAGGAACACCGGUGGCGAAGGCGGGUCUCUGGGCCGAUACUGACGCUGAGGAGCGAAAGCGUGGGGAGCGAACAGG
rnacentral:rRNA from 1 species